GGGGCGCUCCUCUGAGGGCCCUGUCCGGAGGAGAGAGCAAAGGCGAGUGCAGAUGGCUUGCAAACUGCUGAGCGACCCUUCCGUGCUGAUCCAGGAUGAACCAAUGACUGGUCUAGACUCCGGCACCUCAUGGUGUCUCCUCUCCACCUUGAGGUGCUUGGCCAAGAAACAGGAAGACCAUCUUGUGCUCUGUAAAUCAGACAUUCUCGGCUCCUUUGACAAACUGCUCAUUUUGGCACAUGGGCAGGUAUCGAAGGUCACAGACUUCCUUGGAGACCUGGGAAUGCAGUGUCCUCCAGAGAGUAACCCAGCAGACUUCAUCUAUCUUGCCUCAAGAUACCCUGUGAAUCUUGACAGGAAAAAUGGGAUUUACUCGGACUACAAGGCAGGUGAGUGA
rnacentral:lncRNA from 1 species